AAAACGACUCUCGGCAACGGAUAUCUCGGCUCUCGCAUCGAUGAAGAACGUAGCGAAAUGCGAUACUUGGUGUGAAUUGCAGAAUCCCGUGAACCAUCGAGUCUUUGAACGCAAGUUGCGCCCAAAACCUUCGGGUCGAGGGCACGUCUGCCUGGGUGUCACGU
rnacentral:rRNA from 1 species